CUUUGUUAAGUGGGGUGUGUGUGGUUUUUGUUUUCAAAGCUGGCCUGGAGGCUCUGGGUUGCCAUGGCAACUGAUGAGCAGGGCCGCCUUUUCCCUUCCCUCCAUCUUGGGAGCCCUGGUUGCCAUAACAACUGAUUGGUCCUCUCCUCUUCCUCCACCUCUGCCACAGGGCUCCAGCUUCCCUCUGGGGGCACCACUGUUCUUAGAUGGCAGAGCAGAUGCAACGGCACCCCUGAGCUGCCCUCAGGGGGUCCUCAGCCUUGGAGGAGGCAGGAGACCUGGGCUAUGGAGCCACUCACAGGCCCUACUGAGAACAACUUGGUGUCCAUCACAGUCCUCUUCAGAAUGCCCAGAAUAUGGGGAUAAGAAGGUGAAACCGGCAUGUUUAUUAACACAAUGGAAUAUUCUGUGGCCAAAUCAAAGGAAGACGUUGAGGAUUCUGGUGACACCUGGAAACGUACUGCUAAGGGAAAAAAGCAGGACCACAAUGUUAUGUGGAUAUUGACUGCGACUAUAUAUAAUGCCAGCGUGGACUUCUCAGAGAUGGAAUUUGGAGGAAUGUAAUACAGAUGCAAAUAGAGUUUUCCCCACA
rnacentral:lncRNA from 1 species